AUUGGCUUUAUUUUCUCUUAUACAGAAUAAUGUUCUUUUGGGUUGUUGUGCAUCCACAGAACAAAUGAGGAAGUUCAUCCUUAAGAAGACAAUCUAGAUUGACAAUGUGCUGAUCUCCAAAUGAAGCUCCUGGGCAACAAUGAUGCAGUUCUGCAUACCACACUUUGAGUAGCAAGGUGUUCUUAAUAGAUUGCUAUUUAAUGUCAUUCAAGAUCUACAAAACAUCAUUUUUGCAUGACUACUGCAAAAGGACUACUGUAAAGAAACCAGUUCCUUUUGCAAGAGGACAAUUUGGACCCUGUUUCAGAAAGCAGUGAGUUCACAGAACUUAACAGAACACUUUCCAAGAUGGGGAGUUGUUGGGAACCUAUUCAGUGAUGGUGAACAUAUGGCAUGCAUGCAGGAGUGGGCUGUUUCUAUCAUUGAAAGCUCUAAAAAGUUCUCUGCUAUGGAUCCUCAUGCUGAUGAAAAGGGCCAAACAGUAGGACUGACCUGAUUCUUACUCAGAAGACAUGGUGUAGUUAUAUUCAAUUCCCUACAAAACAGAAAAUAUUCAUUAAGCACUGACUUUGACCAGUACUUGGAGAUAACAGUAGAAAGAUGGGUAAGAAUGACUAUUGGGGAAAUCAAAUAUGCAAACAGAAUGUGAAAUCUAAUUUUAGUGUUUUAAAAUUUGUUAAAUGCUAUGUGUGGUGGCUAACAUCUAUAAUCCCAGCACCAGGAGGAUUUCUGUGAGUUCAAGGCCAGCUUGGGUAACAUAGUGAAUUCAAGACCAGCCUGAACUACCUAGUGAGACUCUGUCUCAAAAAAAAAAAAACACAACAACAACAAAAAAGAUAAUCUAAAAAUUGUUGUAACAGCUGGGUGUAGUGUCAUAUGCCUGUAAUCUGAACACUGUGGGAGGCUGGGGCAGAAGGAUUGCAAGUUUGAUCCCAGCCUGGGCAAUUUAGUGAGUUAGUAUAACCAUGACUCAAAUUUUUAAAAAGUGUGGG
rnacentral:lncRNA from 1 species